AAAUCCUUGAGGACUAGAUGCUCUAAUGCUGAAGUGGAAAUGACUCGAGUCAUUUGGACCAAAAUCAUCUACUCCCCACACCUCCUUUGAUUCCAUAUACUCAAGCCACACAUGAUCCAAAUCAACUGAUGAGCAGCACUUGAUGCAUGUCGCAACUUUGCAAUUAAUGGAUCUUGUAAG